AUUGGACUUUAUUUGCGCAGCAUAGGUGGGAGGCAUUGAGUUUAUUCUUGCGGGAAUUUAGGAGCCAUCAGUGAGAUACCACUCUGGUAAUGUUAGAUUUCUAACUUUGUAUCAUGAUCUGGUCAAAGAACAGUUUCAGGCGGGCAGUUUGACUGGGGCGGUCGCCUCCCAAAUGGUAACGGAGGCGUACAAAGGUUUCCUCUGAACGUGUAGAAAUCGUAUCUAGAGUGUAAAGGCAUAAGGAAGCUUGACUGUGAGACCUACAAGUCGAGCAGGGACGAAAGUCGGUCUUAGUGAUCUGACGGUGCUGGGUGGAAAGGCCGUCACUCAACGGAUAAAAGUUACUCUAGGGAUAACAGGCUGAA
rnacentral:rRNA from 1 species